AUUGAACGCUGGCGGCAGGCUUAACACAUGCAAGUCGAACGAUGAUUAUCUAGCUUGCUAGAUAUGAUUAGUGGCGGACGGGUGAGUAACAUUUAGUAAUCUGCCUAGUAGUGGGGGAUAGCUCGGGGAAACUCGAAUUAAUACCGCAUACGACCUACGGGUGAAAGGGGGCGCAAGCUCUUGCUAUUAGAUGAGCCUAAAUCAGAUUAGCUAGUUGGUGGGGUAAAGGCCCACCAAGGCGACGAUCUGUAACUGGUCUGAGAGGAUGAUCAGUCAAACCGGAACUGAGACACGGUCCGGACUCCUACGGGAGGCAGCAGUGGGGAAUAUUGGACAAUGGGGGCAACCCUGAUCCAGCCAUGCCGCGUGUGUGAAGAAGGCCUUUUGGUUGUAAAGCACUUUAAGCAGGGAGGAGAGGCUAAUGGUUAAUACCCAUUAGAUUAGACGUUACCUGCAGAAUAAGCACCGGCUAACUCUGUGCCAGCCGCCGCAGUAA
rnacentral:rRNA from 1 species